UAUCGCUCGACCAUACUUGGUUAUAACCACGCUCAAUGUAUCUAUCUACCGGUAUACGAUAUUUCGAGCCUUAGACCGAAGAAGUGUUCUAAAAAUGGAUAUCAGUUGGAAGUAUUAUAUUGUUUCGGUUUUAUAUCUCUCUUUUAGUUACGGGAAUGCUGAUUACUGUUAUGAUGAUAAUGGCUAUCUGGAGUUGAUCUGUUCAGAUUACUUCACUUUAGAUUCCUAUUGCUGCGGCGAACCUGGCUUCUACUACUGCUGUGAUUCGGAUGAUUACGAAUUCUAUAAUACCGUUGCUUCAAGCCUCAGCACUGCAGUCAUUGUCGUCAUUGUUAUCAGCGUCGUCAUUGUUGUUGCUAUUGUUGUUAGCAUGGUAACAUAUCGUGUGUUCUGCGCCACUGUCGUGACCGUUCGCCCGACGAGGACAGCAUUCGUAACGACACAUCAAACACAACAAGGUCAAGUAGUCGUUCAUCCCCCUCAGGGUAGACAAAUCACACAACAAGCAAACUUUCCUCCAGCUGGAGCUGUGUAUCCACCUGAAGCCGGAGCGUAUCCCCCGCCUUCAGUUACGUAUUGUCCCCCUGUUGAAGGCGAGAAGCCGCCAAUUUAUUCUGUGCUAUAGUUGACAUUAGACAGACAAACCACUGCUAAAUCAGUUAUUGUCAUUCUACAAACAUUUUAAAAUGCUAUUACAAUAGGAUAAUUUUAUAAAGAUCGUUGAUAACAAAAAUUAAAAAAAUGUAGGCUUAAUGAUGAAGGGGAAACCACAAUGCUUGGUAAUUCAUGAUUUCCUCUUCCUAUUUUAGUUGUUGUUCUGUGACACCAUUAUUUAUUAUUUACACUAAAGGCGCAAACGCAAGAUUGUUGAAUUACUUUUGUUAGGACAUUACACUCAAGAACAAAGAAAAAUUUUCCAGAUUUUAUUAAAUUUUUCCGUUCGUAUACGGAACAAGAAAAGGACUUCUAACGUCUGUCAACAUUUCAACUUGCCAGACCACACUAUUAAUAACAUCAUAGGCCAUGGAUAUAAAUCUACCAAAGAUAGAAAAUGUCAUGAGAUACGUUGGGCUUUGAGACUUAUACACAGGGUCUGAACUAUAUAUAUAUAUAUAUAUAUAUAUAUAUAUAUAUAUACACGUAUAUAUACACUAAGUGGUAAGCAGCAUGAUUUGUAUAUAUUUUUGGCAUAUACUUUACCAGCUGUAUACCUAUAAGCCAUUACGUAGCUGAAGUUCGCACAAUAUGUGUAAGCUCUCAAGUUUGUAUGAAGGAAGAGAGUGACGUGUGGUCUUCAAUUCGUAACAAUAUCGCACGAGCCUUUGUGGUCUAACGGAGAUCGACGAGAUAGUGAUUGCGGGUUCGAGUCCCACGAUAGACCUCUUUUUUUUUCAAUAAACUUUAGUUGAUGAAUUAUGUUCGAUACUAUUCAUCAUCAUGUUCCUUAUUAUUAUUUGAUUAUUAUUAUUAAUAUUAUGCAUUUUGUGUUCUCAUGGGCUAAGCAGCAACAACUUGAUUUGAAUAUUAUUUCCUAUUCUAAAUCCUACAUAUAUAAGGUAUUACGUAGCUUUAAGAUCGCACUACCUUUUUCAUACAAUGUAACAAGGAACUUUCGUUGAUGUUGUGUGAUACGAUUAUAACAUAAUUUUUCUAUA